GACGAACGCUGGCGGCGUGCUUAACACAUGCAAGUCGAACGAAGAGCGACGGAAGCUUGCUUCUCUCAAUCUUAGUGGCGAACGGGUGAGUAACGCGUAAUCAACCUGCCCUUCAGAGGGGGACAACAGUUGGAAACGACUGCUAAUACCGCAUACGAUCUAAUCUCGGCAUCGAGGAUGGAUGAAAGGUGGCCUCUACAUGUAAGCUAUCACUGAAGGAGGGGAUUGCGUCUGAUUAGCGAGUUGGAGGGGUAACGGCCCACCAAGGCGAUGAUCAGUAGCCGGUCUGAGAGGAUGAACGGCCACAUUGGGACUGAGACACGGCCCAGACUCCUACGGGAGGCAGCAGUGGGGAAUCUUCCGCAAUGGACGAAAGUCUGACGGAGCAACGCCGCGUGAGUGAUGACGGCCUUCGGGUUGUAAAGCUCUGUUAAUCGGGACGAAAGGCCUUCUUGCGAAUAGUGAGAAGGAUUGACGGUACCGGAAUAGAAAGCCACGGCUAACUACGUG
rnacentral:rRNA from 1 species